rnacentral:rRNA from 1 species
UGGGGAAUUUUGGACAAUGGGGGAAACCCUGAUCCAGCCAUCCCGCGUGUGCGAUGAAGGCCUUCGGGUUGUAAAGCACUUUUGGCAGGAAAGAAACGUCAUGGGUUAAUACCCCGUGAAACUGACGGUACCUGCAGAAUAAGCACCGGCUAACUACGUGCCAGCAGCCGCGGUAAUACGUAGGGUGCAAGCGUUAAUCGGAAUUACUGGGCGUAAAGCGUGCGCAGGCGGUUCGGAAAGAAAGAUGUGAAAUCCCAGAGCUCAACUUUGGAACUGCAUUUUUAACUACCGGGCUAGAGUGUGUCAGAGGGAGGUGGAAUUCCGCGUGUAGCAGUGAAAUGCGUAGAUAUGCGGAGGAACACCGAUAGCGAAGGCAGCCUCCUGGGAUAACACUGACGCUCAUGCACGAAAACGUGGGGAGCAAACAGG